rnacentral:misc_RNA from 1 species
CCACCCUCAGGCCCCCCGGGCCUGGCGCUGGGGCUUCUGUAGGGCUUCCUACAGGCCCUCAAGACCAGUGGCGGGCUCGCCUAGAACCCGAGCGCAGUAAUUUCUCCUCGCUCAGGGGCUUCCAGGCGGGUCUAGCCGUUAAACCCCCCAAUCUUUCAGAA